UCGCUGCUCCGGACGCAGGGGGCGGUGCGCCUCGGCUUUGGCUACCGGGCAGCGCCGAAUUUGGUCGCUUUUCUGCAGUUCCGCCGGCUCACUUUAGGGUUAAAAACCUCGAAAACCCGCCCUUCGGUGUUUGAUACUGUGCAGCAGCUGCCAGUAUCUAGAGGUUCUCUCCAGGUGAACUAACCACCUGUUCAACCGGGAGGUGGACGGGCGGCUGCAGUCCUCGCCCUCCUUAACAGCCUGAGUCUUUGAACUUCUCACACGGCUUUGGAAGGGCGUCAUUGCAUUAGGUGAAGAGUUGGAGGGUUAUCCGGUAUAUUAAUGUCUUAUUGAUAAUGGCAGAACAUCCACCUCUGCUGGAUACAACUCAGAUUUUAAAUAGUGAUAUUUCUCUUCUGUCUGCGCCUAUUGUAAGUGCAGAUGGAACACAACAGGUUAUUCUGGUACAAGUUAACCCAGGGGAAGCUUUUACUAUAAGAAGAGAAGAUGGACAGUUUCAGUGCAUUACAGCUUUGCAAAAAAAAAAAAAGAAAGAAAGAAACCAUUCACCAAUUAAAGCUGUUAACGUGUACUACGCUGUUUCCUUGUUGGAUUUUCUUGUUCCCUGCUGCUACUGUAAAAACAAAAUGAGUGGUCCUGCUCAGGUUCCAAUGAUGUCCCCAAAUGGUUCUGUGCCUCCAAUUUAUGUGCCUCCUGGCUAUGCCCCACAGGUAUGUUUUGUUAUUUUUCUUUUUUAUUUAUGAAGAUAGUUACUCCUUUUUCUUUGAUUUUGAUGAAAAAAUAAUACUUAAGUUCUGAAAUUAAAC
rnacentral:lncRNA from 1 species